rnacentral:lncRNA from 1 species
UCGUCUUAAAUUUGAGUUGUAUCUUGGUUUGUUUUGGGAGGUCGAUUCGGAGUAGGCAAGACUCGGAGGAAGCUUUGACGAUCUUCUUCUGUUUAGGUACUCUGCCAUUUGAUAUUUCGACGUUUGUGGCUGAGCAGGAGAUUGACGCGGUGGGACGUCUUUUCGGCGGAGAUGGAAGAGAUGCGAGAAACAGAGAACAAGGUAUGUUAUCAAUCUUGCUUUCAAGAUAAGGAGUAACAUUAAGUUGGUCUUGGUAGCUCCUCUCUCAUCAACACGUGUUUGAACUUGUGGACAUAUUUCAUUAACACUUACAUAAGAGCGUAAAAUACCAUAUAUGAUAUAUUGUCAAAUUUGAGUACUUUGAAUGAACAAACCAUGGUAGUCCUUUUUCUGUUAUCUGAAUGUAAUAUUAAAGUGGAGAAUAGUGAUACCGGCUUAUACAACCCACUAAGCUCCAAAGGACGAACGUAACUAUCACAAGCCAACAAGGACACUAUACCAAAAACUUAUAUAGCACAAUAAAACACCAUUCUACAAUUACUUCACUAGCUCCCAUAAAUACACCCCCAAAAACUUCAAGAACCAUCAAGUUGAGGCUUCAACGUUUCAUCACCAAAAAAGCAUAUCAAACCAAGCUGAACGUCCAACAGUUACAUACGACUGUCUUACAUGAUUUGAAUGGACACCUCUGGGUUGCAAAUUAAAGGACUGUUUUAUUACCAACUUCCAAUAGAAAAUGAAAUGAAACCUCAUAUCAAAUACGAGCCAACUCCCUUAUCAUUUUGUUUUUGGACAUCAUAAAGUCUCACAGAUCCUCAUGGCUAAUAGAAACCACAUAAUAUCAUAAUUCCGUAAUUUAGCUAGUAGUCACAGAUCAAAGGGGGAUACCACGUGCUAUCGGAACAACAAACAAUUGCCAUACAAUAAUACUAGAGAAACACAUCUGAUCAGAUAUUCGGGUCCCGUUGCUUGGAGAAUUAAAAAAUGGCGCAUCUAUAUAAUUUAAUGCUACCAUCCAAUAAACAACUAUUUCAUCUUCAAUCAUAGUGAUAGUUUUAAGGCUCACUUGUCAUACACGUAAAUAAAAUGCGUUGCAUCUGUGUGUUUCGGACGAAGAAAAUCAGGUUUUGAAGCUGCUAGGUUUAGGAAAUUUACUUUUUCUAGAUAAGUAUGUAUUCCUAAAGAAAAAAGAAAAUCAGAAUCUGAGGUUGCUAUAAAUAUGGGUCUAAGGAUUUGUAAAAUUAUUCAUUCACACAAUAAUAAAAAAUUCGUGAAUUAAUAAGAAACCCUAAACGGGUAUUUGCUUCAAUACAUUGUUCUUUAAUAUUUUCUUGCUUAAUUUGUGGCCGUUCACAACAAAAUGUAUAUAUUAUAAAAUUAGAUUGUGCUUGUUAUUAAAAAAAUAAAUUAACUUGAACGGUCUGUCGCAGGAGUAGGCAAACAAUUUUUUUUGUCUGCAUUAGUGUCCAUUUCAGUUUCUGUGAUUACAAACUCAACCGUUGAUCAUUCUUCUUUUCACCUUACGUACAAAUUACACAACAACAACAUUAUAGCAAGUCGUUCAAGCUGCUUUGAUCGAACAGGUUUAACAACUACAACGUCUACCACUUUACACUAGAAGAAUAAAGAGAAUUAUUAGUUUAUUUAACCAGGUUUUAAUUUCUAUGUUUAUGUGACAAUGUGAUAGACGAUAGUUCAUAAGCUUGCAGUUGAUUAACGUGUUGUCGUGUUUUUUUUUCAAUUAUAAGAAAAAAGUUUGAAAAUCUUUCCAAACUUAAAAUCAGAACAUAUAACAUUAGUAAUAUGAAAUAUCACAUGCUUCAAAAUAUAUGCAAUAGAAGUGGAAGUAUCUAUUGCAUUUUUAUGUUUAAGUGAUUGUUUGAGACUCGACAUUGAACUUAUAGUUAUCGAAUAUUAAUUAGUAGAACGUUAAUAGAACGUACUAUUGCAUAUAUUUGACCCCCAAAAAAAAAUUAAUAGAACGUUAUUUUGGCAACAGAUGUUUAUUUAACGAUAAAAAUAGACAAUUACGUACGAUAAGAACAUUCCAUUAACUAUACUGUUUUUUUUUCUGGCACGAGCCUCCCAUUUCCAGAAGUUAUCUAAAUGAACAGACGCGAUUAUAGUCUCUUUUGGUGAUCUGGAUGUAAUAUUAAAAAUGGAGAAUAGUCAAACCGGCUUAGAAUACAAACAUACAACCCACUAAGCUCCAAAGACUAAUUAUAUCACAGGCCACAAGGAGACUAUACUGAAACCUACAGAACCCACAAUAAAAUACCAUUCUGAAAAAUUUUUUUUUUUUUUUUUUUUUUUUUUUAAUAAAUUCUUUUAUUCAUUCAUAUCAGACGCAUUACAAAAAAGUCAAGCCCAAAACAUAUAUACCCUGGCCUAGCUAGCGCCUACAAUUCUACUAAUCCAAAUAAAGAAAAGAGAUCCCCUUCAUCUUCCAAUCCACAUCUACUCCCUGCACAACACUUCAAACACUUUAGACUGAGAAGAAGGACAUCCAAGUAGCAAGCACAGAGUCCUGUCCUGCUGGAGUUAACUGUCUGCGAGCCAACGGAUCUAAACGGAGCUUAACAGUCUGCUGAAUUUCUGCAAUCAGAGUCCCUGCUGGCUUCACCUCAGCUGUGUGAAUACGCUUGUUUCUCUCUUUCCAAACCAAGUAGACUACAGCUUGGUGAAUGAGUCUAAUAAUCAGGAUCACAUUCUUGUCUCUUGAUGGAUCUUUCAGCCAUCUCAACACUUCAUCAAACCCCUGUGGAGGAGUAAGCUGCAUCCGAGAAAUAAAGAACAUCCAAAUCUGAUUACUAAAGGAGCAAUCGAAAAACAGGUGCUGCCGGUUCUCAUCAUUACCUGCGCAUAGUACACAGUUUGAAGGAACCGACAAUCCCCAACCAAUAAGGCGAUCUCUUGUAACCAUUCUGUCCCGUGCAGCCACCCAAGUUAGGAACGCAUGCUUCGGUAUUCUACCUUGGAACCACACCACUUUGUGCCAAAACACUUCUAUUGGAUACGGAUGAAGUGCUCUCCAUGUAUCGCCAAUUGAGAAAUUGCCUGUUCCACGCCCAGCCUCUGGAAACCAGACAUAUCUAUCAUCUGCCUCAGAAUCGAUGAGCUCCUGUGCACUUGGCAGACAGUUCUUCAAUAAUAGGAUUAUCGGAUUCCUGCUUCUACUUCGAUCCAGCCACCACCCCUCACUGGUUAACGCAUCUGCCACCACCGCAUCAAAAUGUAGCCCAGUGACCAGAGGUCCUCUAUCUCCCACCAACUCUAUCAGCGGACCAAGAGACGUCCAAUUAUCGUGCCAAAAGCUAGCUGUAUUACCAGAACCCACUUCGCAAUGUACCAUCGGUCUUGCCAAAGGCCGGAGCUUACAAAUAGCUCUCCAAAUCCAGCUCCCCCUUCUGGAGGGAUCUAACAGCCAGAAAUUCUCUCUUCCUAUUAAGUGUCUUCGCACCCAUGAGACCCACAGGGAACCUCCAGCAGCAAAGAUGAGCCAAAUGAGUUUCAGACCAAGCACUCUGUUCCAAUCGGCCAGUCUCCUCAAGCCUAACCCUCCUGCUUCUUUAGGAGUGCAAACUGACUCCCAAGCUACCUUAGCUCCCCUAGCUGAAUUAGGAGCCCCAUUCCAUAAAAAGGCUCCACACAUACGCUCCAAUAUCCUCACACAUUCAUUGGGAAUGAUAAACAUUGAUGCCCAAAAUGAGAUGGUGGAAUAGAUGACUGCUUGGAUCAACUGAAACCUCCCUGCAAAAGACAGAUGUUUGACUGUCCAAGAAUUGAACCUAGCUGCAAUCUUAUCCAACAAAGGCUGGAAAUCUGAGCGAGUCAUUUUCUUGGGAGAAAGGGGAACCCCCAGGUACCGUAGGGGAAGAGCUCCUUGGGCAAUACCCAUCUCGGUUGCUAGAUCUCGACAUCUACUUGAGCUGCCACCGUCCAACAAUAAUUCUGAUUUCUGUCUAUUUAUCCUCAGACCGGAUAUCAGACGAAACUCCUCUAAGAUUUGCAGAAUUCCACGUAGCGACUCCGCAGAACCAUCAAAGAAGAUUAACACAUCAUCAGCGAAGCUUAGAUGCGUUAUCAGAGGUGCUUCACAUUCAGGAUGAAUGCCAAACCGACCAUCCCUUGCCCCUUUAUCCAAUAAUUUGGACAGCACAUCCAUCGCUAUCACAAACAAAAGAGAAGAGAUGGGAUCGCCUUGCCUCAGACCUUUCUUUCCCUGAAAAAACCCUUGCAGUUCUCCAUUUAUUGCUAUGCUAUAUGAAGGUGUCGUAACACACUCCUUGAUCCAAUCGAUGAAGGUGGUUGGCAUCUCCACUGCCCGCAUCACCUUGAAGAGGAAGUCCCAACUAAGAUUAUCAUAGGCCUUUGAAAUAUCAAUUUUUAGGCAACCUCUUGUUGUCGGACCCUGAUCAUUAAAAUCUUUGACCAGUUCUGAAGCUAACAAAACGUUCUCGCAUAGUAGUCUGUCCUGGACGAACCCAACUUGAUUCCUCUGAACAAUAUCUGAGACACACAGCUUCAGUUUCUUCUUCAACAGCCUAGCCAUAACCUUAUAGAUUGUAGAGCAAAGUGAUACCGGCCUGAAUGCUGUAAGCUCGUCCGCUCCUAUAACCUUAGGAAUGAGAGCAAUUGUGGUAGCAUUAAAUUGUCUCAACAAACGGCCUGAUGAGAAAAACUCAUGUAUCGCUUCAAUCGAGUCCUUUCCAACAAUCCCCCACGUCUCCCAAAAGAACUCUGCAGAGAAUCCAUCAGGACCCGGCGCUUUAUUCUUUGGCAUGGCAAACAAAGUCGUCUUAAUAUCCUCCUCUGAAGGGAUUGACACUAGCUGAUCUGAGAUCUCCUGAGGACACCUAUAUGUCAAAAGACCCCUUAACUCCUCCACUGAUAUGUCCUGGAGCAUACCAUCUUGUGAUCCCAAUAGAUUCCGGAAAAAUGCCACCACCAUUUCCUUAAUCUGAUUCUGAUUAAAAACUCUGUUGCCUCCCCCAUCCAACAAAUAACUAAUGCAAUUACGAAUCUGAUGGGCCACUACCGCCUUGUAGAAAAACUUAGAAUUCGCAUCUCCACAAUCCAACCACCGAAUCCUUGCCUUUCUACUAAAGAAAAUCUCUUGAGCUGACUCAAAGAAUUGCCACUUCUUCCUAGCCACAAACUCCUGCCGGAACAAUGAGUCACUGGGGGAAGUUAAAAGCUGCAACUGAAUUUCCUUUAGAGAAUCGAGAGCUUCUUUUGCUCGCUGUUGAAUAUUCCCAAAGCCUUCUUUAUUCAACCGUCUACAAGUAGCUUUGGCUUUCUUUAGUCUCUGUCCCAGCGAGAAGAGCCUCGACCCGACUGGAAUAACCUCCUCCCACGUCUUCAACAUCUCAACUAGAUAGCUUGGAUGUGUGGAGAUGAAGGAGAAAUACUUAAAACUACAUUUCCUUAUCUGUGGUACCGAAGAAAAAGUCACUACUGCUGGGGAAUGAUCUGAGUCUCCCGGCUCCUCAAAAACACUAAUGGCUUCCGGAAAGCUCUCACGCCAUUUUUCAUUGCACACUACUCUAUCCAGCUUCCUGAGUAUGGGAUCCUCAACUCGUCCAUUUGACCAAGUAAAGAAGGUACCCCUAAUGUCCAAAUCUGACAGCUCGCAAUCCUCCAUACAUUGUUGAAACUCCUCCAUACCCCUAACUGGUAGGUCAUACGGGUGUAUUGAGAAAUGCUCUGCCGCUGUGAGAAUUUGAUUAAAGUCGCCAAGAAUUACCAAAGGAGAGGCUGAAACUAGGGGGUUACUAGAGAUAGACACUAGAUCCCUCCAUAAGCUACGUCUCUCCGCUUCAGUGUUAUGCGCAUAGAUGAAAGCCACUGUACAACUCGUUCCAGAAGCUGGAUCCAUAACCCCACACAGAAUUAACUGAUCCGUUUUCAGAAACACCACUACUGACAAAGAAGGACUCCAUACAAUCCAAAUCCUCCCUCCUGCUGCAACUGAGUAAUUAUUAUCGAACCUCCAACCCGUAGCAACCGCCCCUAACACACUAAGAAAAUUCUCCUCCUGUACAUGAGUCUCCAAAAACGCACCAACUGAAGAACCCAAAUUCUGCAACCAAGAACGCACUACUCUCUGACGACCAACACCAUUCAUACCUCUAAUGUUCCAACUGAAAAUCUUCAUAUAUACAAUAAUUGGGGUAACCAAAUCAAAAACCUUUUAUCCUACCCGAGGAGAUUCCUCGAGCAAGACGCUUAGAAGAUUUCGGAGGAGAACCAACCGCUCCAGAGGAUUUCCAAAGCUCAUGUUGUCGCAAAGCACGCCUAUAAUUCUUCGAAUGUUUAGUAAACCACACAGACGAAUCUUCUUCUUCCUUAAAAAUCUCUCCUUUACUAGCAAUCUUUCCUUCGGCUAUCACUGAAUCAACAACUUCAACUUCCUCCCUAAUCUCACCUUCCUCCAACUGACUCUCUUCCGAAGCUGAUGAAGUCACCGCCAAAACUGAGUCAACUACCUUCUUCUGAUCCUUAACCCCCACAGACUUUUCCUCAAGUUCUGUAACCUCAGCAACCUGAACCCCCAACUCAGCACCCACCACCUCUGGAGGAGAGCUCAGCGCUCUCGCUCUUGCUCUCGCACGAGAACGAGACCUACGGCGAGACCUCGAACUAGCACUACUCUUCUGCUCCUGGACCUCCUCCACCGGGCCAACCAAGACCUCCUCUUGAGAUGUCGCAGCUAGAGACACCUCCUUAACAGCCUUCACCACACUGACCACCUUUCCUUGCUUCUGAGUUUGGAAUAUCUUCGAGGAAGGUUUGUGGCACCGAUUCAACAAAUGACCAAACUUUCCACAAUUUAUGCACUUAGGAGGCAGGCUAGGGUACUCAAUGUUAACUCUGACUGAAUUUCCUUGAGAGUCUCGCACUUCUACUACCUCCGGGAGAGCCUUUGAGAGAUCAAUCUCAAUCUUGACUUUUGUAUCACCAAAGUGGUAGGGGUCAAGCCGAGACUUCUCAGUGUGGAGAGGGUCUCCGAUACCACUAGCAACCACACUAAUACCAUCCAGAGAAUAUAACUGCGGUGGAACGUUCUUGAGUACCGCCCACGUUGGGGCAAAUAGAAGCUCCUGAGCAGCUAGAUUCCCAUCUGCAGUCCAAGGAUAAACCGAGAAAGCACAUCGAUCCGCCUGCCAGUAACCGACCUGCAAUACCCAUUCUCUGGUUUGCACCGAAGGAAUGAAUAUCAAGACACAAGUAUCCGACACCGUACGGACCGUGAUGUUGCCGAACUUUCCCCAGACCGGGUUCAGAUCCGCUAUAAUCUUCGCUGCCGACGGCCUCCGACCAUGGAAGUGAGCUACCACGUGAUCUUUCCAGAGUUCUGAGGUUUGGAGAAGCACCGACUCCGGCGCUUGCACUACCGGCGUGCCAUCUGCUAGAAAGGACGGAUCUGAGAUUUUACGAAGAUUUCUCAGGGAAGAUUUGAACCUCGCCGCGUAAGAAGGAACCUUCGCCGCUGGGAUCGAUGUAGGACCCGACGGUGAUUGGAGCUUCACCUCCAGAUCGCGAUUCAAGUGAUGGCUUUCGCGAUCUGAAAUUUUUGCAGAUUUCGCUCCUCCUGGGUCAAUAGGGGAGCUCGACGACGGGGAGGAAACAUGAGACGCCAUUGUGAUGAAGGGACGACUGGGAAUAGCUUCUCGCUAGUCGGCGUGAGGCCCACUCUCGGCGGUGACACACCGGAAACCUAAGUCGUCCUUUUUCGCACUUUAUCGCUCAAGAGAGAGAAAAAGGCCCGUGACCUAAUUUUUUAGUUUGUCUUCUCCCUGAAAAAUAUAACUAAUACACCUCUAGAAAGCUACAAGAACUCUCACGUAGAGACUGCAACCUUCUCAUCAUGAAAUAGUGUGAUCAAACCAAGCUGGUUCUACUUCUACAACACAGACAUAAAAUUGCCUUCAAUGAUCUAUAAACAUCUUGAACAAUGAGAUAGGGACUUCUACUUACAGAUAACUGUUCUAACACCAACUUCCAACAGAGAAAAAAUGACUGAAACCACAUAGCAAACUCGAACCAAGUCUUUUUUCUUAGUCUUCUUAUUUUUUUUUUUGUGACAUUAGAUCAAACUCGAAGCAUCACAUAUUAUUAUAUUUUCUCUACAACAAUAAUUAACCAAUGUGGGUCAGUGGGUGUGUAACAGUUGUCAAAAUUUCUAGGCUUCUAGCGCAACAAGUUAUAAAAGUCGUCGAAAUAAAGCAAAAUGCUUUACAUCUAUUUUUUAAAAUAAAAAAUAAUAGAAACAAACCAUGUAUACAGAAAUCGAAUAGUAUCUACUUUAAAUCGUUACAGGGUAAGUUCGACGGACUUUGAUUCCGAUACCUAAAGAAGUAAACCAAAGUGAAAACCACAAGAAGCGCAACGCCGGAGACGCCGCAUAUGAUGCUCGCCGCAAGAAACACGUGCCUCAUCACGUGCUCGCGUCUGUUGGCAGCUCCAUCACGCCACCACGUGUCGUCGUCUCCGCCGUCUGUAUCCGUAGCUUUGGGAAGGAGCUGAGAAGGAGGAGGAGAAGAACGGGAAUCUCCGAAGAAGGACAUCAUUUUCCCGGGAGGUGAGUGAGAUUCAGUCGGUGGUGAGCUGGUUUGAUACUGUAGGCCAUGAUCAGAAGGUCGUAAGCCUUCGGCGAAGAUGAAGAGGAAUGUUACACUGAACAUGAAGACCGAAGCCGAUCUAACGCGGUUUAAGAGAAGAGCCAUGUGAGGGAGAGAGAGAGACUUUUGUUUUGUUUUGUUUUAUUUUAUUGUCUAGUUAAACUAGUAAAGUAGCUUUUAUGUAAUGUGAUGAGCUCAACGACACCGUUUUGGUAUUGUGGGGUUCUAAAAUAGUUUAUUAGUGUUUUCAAAUUUUCAUCACGGAUUGUCACCGAUGUUGAUUGGAGAAAAAGUGGUAACAGAAAAGAAAGCAACUUUUAAUGGGAAUAAGAAUUGAUAAAGAAGAUAACACCAACUCACCAACUCUUAAUCGAGAAGAAAUAAAUUUCUACACUUGCAAUAGUUUAGUUACUGUAUAUGUUUUUUCAAUGAUUAUGAGGUUCUUGAACUUGCGAUUCUUAUUAAAUAAUCUAAGAGCUUUAGUCACGAAGUCUAACUCAUUGUUAGUUACUGCAUCUGUUAAACACGUUUUAGACUAGUGGAGCAAAGCUUUGUCGUCUAAUUGCUCGUUUGAUUCAAAAUCACUAGUUACUAUGAAUCAGACUAUGCAAACCACAAUAUCAAUAUCUGUUCAUUGAUUUGCCUUAUGGACUAAAAACGUCACAAGGUCCAUCCGUGGGACGCGUCCCACUAAUACACUCUCCACUACAAAUUGUCAAAAACUAUCAAGAAAAUGGAACAGCUGCUUUGAAGUUUGCUACUCUGAACAGUGAUACUCCCUCACAAGUUAGAUUACCAAAAAAAAUUGAGGAGUUUUAAGAAGUUAGUUCCAAAGCUUUUGAUGUCAAGCAGAAGUUCCAGGAACCUCCUCACUAGGUGGCUGCUUUGGUCCUUUAGCUCUUGGUGGUGGCUGUGGCUUUGGUGGUGGUGGCGGUGGUCUUUUUGGUUUCACCUUAUCGACUUCCUCAGAUCCAACUUCAAACUGCAUGGUGUAGCAAACACGAGCUAAGAAGAAAAUAAUAUGCUGCAAAGGCAUCAAAAUGAAGGUUAGAACAAGAGUACCAAACCUUGUAACCACAGCCUGCGACACACGCGUGAAAGCAUUCCUGAAUUUUACAAUAUUAAACAAGUUAGAUACGGUACAGUUCGGUCUGUUUAUGAAAAGGGUAUUCUUUUUAAUGUAGUGUGGAUACCUCAGAGUAGCUGGCAGCUCCAGGAGAACGAUCUAUAUAUGCACUCCAUUGUCGGUCUUUUAGCACAGGGUCUUUGUAGCAUAUCUCACUGCAGUCUGAUACACCUAUAAAGAGAACACUAUCACACCAAUUCAUUAACUUGCAAAAUCAAAACCUGAAGAAGAGGAGAUACUUCAUGAACACACAUAUAUACAAUGUAGGAGACAAGAAUUUUCUGUAAUGUUGUAUAGUGAGGAGUGAGGAGUGAGGAGAGAUGAAUCUGCUCCUCAAUUCAUAAACAAAUCUCAUGAUGGACUUGAGUGAUUAAAAAGAAAUGCUUACAAUCUUCCCAUGAGUCACUGUCGGCAUCACAUCCCUUCUUGCAGAACACUCUCCCUACAGCAUACCAUCUUGUGAUCCCAAUAGAUUCCGGAAAAAUGCCACCACCAUUUCCUUAAUCUGAUUCUGAUUAAAAACUCUGUUGCCUCCCCCAUCCAACAAAUAACUAAUGCAAUUACGAAUCUGAUGGGCCACUACCGCCUUGUAGAAAAACUUAGAAUUCGCAUCUCCACAAUCCAACCACCGAAUCCUUGCCUUUCUACUAAAGAAAAUCUCUUGAGCUGACUCAAAGAAUUGCCACUUCUUCCUAGCCACAAACUCCUGCCGGAACAAUGAGUCACUGGGGGAAGUUAAAAGCUGCAACUGAAUUUCCUUUAGAGAAUCGAGAGCUUCUUUUGCUCGCUGUUGAAUAUUCCCAAAGCCUUCUUUAUUCAACCGUCUACAAGUAGCUUUGGCUUUCUUUAGCCUCUACCGAAGAAAAAGUCACUACUGCUGGGGAAUGAUCUGAGUCUCCCGGCUCCUCAAAAACACUAAUGGCUUCCGGAAAGCUCUCACGCCAUUUUUCAUUGCACACUACUCUAUCCAGCUUCCUGAGUAUGGGAUCCUCAACUCGUCCAUUUGACCAAGUAAAGAAGGUACCCCUAAUGUCCAAAUCUGACAGCUCGCAAUCCUCCAUACAUUGUUGAAACUCCUCCAUACCCCUAACUGGUAGGUCAUACGGGUGUAUUGAGAAAUGCUCUGCCGCUGUGAGAAUUUGAUUAAAGUCGCCAAGAAUUACCAAAGGAGAGGCUGAAACUAGGGGGUUACUAGAGAUAGACACUAGAUCCCUCCAUAAGCUACGUCUCUCCGCUUCAGUGUUAUGCGCAUAGAUGAAAGCCACUGUACAACUCGUUCCAGAAGCUGGAUCCAUAACCCCACACAGAAUUAACUGAUCCGUUUUCAGAAACACCACUACUGACAAAGAAGGACUCCAUACAAUCCAAAUCCUCCCUCCUGCUGCAACUGAGUAAUUAUUAUCGAACCUCCAACCCGUAGCAACCGCCCCUAACACACUAAGAAAAUUCUCCUCCUGUACAUGAGUCUCCAAAAACGCACCAACUGAAGAACCCAAAUUCUGCAACCAAGAACGCACUACUCUCUGACGACCAACACCAUUCAUACCUCUAAUGUUCCAACUGAAAAUCUUCAUAUAUACAAUAAUUGGGGUAACCAAAUCAAAAACCUUUUAUCCUACCCGAGGAGAUUCCUCGAGCAAGACGCUUAGAAGAUUUCGGAGGAGAACCAACCGCUCCAGAGGAUUUCCAAAGCUCAUGUUGUCGCAAAGCACGCCUAUAAUUCUUCGAAUGUUUAGUAAACCACACAGACGAAUCUUCUUCUUCCUUAAAAAUCUCUCCUUUACUAGCAAUCUUUCCUUCGGCUAUCACUGAAUCAACAACUUCAACUUCCUCCCUAAUCUCACCUUCCUCCAACUGACUCUCUUCCGAAGCUGAUGAAGUCACCGCCAAAACUGAGUCAACUACCUUCUUCUGAUCCUUAACCCCCACAGACUUUUCCUCAAGUUCUGUAACCUCAGCAACCUGAACCCCCAACUCAGCACCCACCACCUCUGGAGGAGAGCUCAGCGCUCUCGCUCUUGCUCUCGCACGAGAACGAGACCUACGGCGAGACCUCGAACUAGCACUACUCUUCUGCUCCUGGACCUCCUCCACCGGGCCAACCAAGACCUCCUCUUGAGAUGUCGCAGCUAGAGACACCUCCUUAACAGCCUUCACCACACUGACCACCUUUCCUUGCUUCUGAGUUUGGAAUAUCUUCGAGGAAGGUUUGUGGCACCGAUUCAACAAAUGACCAAACUUUCCACAAUUUAUGCACUUAGGAGGCAGGCUAGGGUACUCAAUGUUAACUCUGACUGAAUUUCCUUGAGAGUCUCGCACUUCUACUACCUCCGGGAGAGCCUUUGAGAGAUCAAUCUCAAUCUUGACUUUUGUAUCACCAAAGUGGUAGGGGUCAAGCCGAGACUUCUCAGUGUGGAGAGGGUCUCCGAUACCACUAGCAACCACACUAAUACCAUCCAGAGAAUAUAACUGCGGUGGAACGUUCUUGAGUACCGCCCACGUUGGGGCAAAUAGAAGCUCCUGAGCAGCUAGAUUCCCAUCUGCAGUCCAAGGAUAAACCGAGAAAGCACAUCGAUCCGCCUGCCAGUAACCGACCUGCAAUACCCAUUCUCUGGUUUGCACCGAAGGAAUGAAUAUCAAGACACAAGUAUCCGACACCGUACGGACCGUGAUGUUGCCGAACUUUCCCCAGACCGGGUUCAGAUCCGCUAUAAUCUUCGCUGCCGACGGCCUCCGACCAUGGAAGUGAGCUACCACGUGAUCUUUCCAGAGUUCUGAGGUUUGGAGAAGCACCGACUCCGGCGCUUGCACUACCGGCGUGCCAUCUGCUAGAAAGGACGGAUCUGAGAUUUUACGAAGAUUUCUCAGGGAAGAUUUGAACCUCGCCGCGUAAGAAGGAACCUUCGCCGCUGGGAUCGAUGUAGGACCCGACGGUGAUUGGAGCUUCACCUCCAGAUCGCGAUUCAAGUGAUGGCUUUCGCGAUCUGAAAUUUUUGCAGAUUUCGCUCCUCCUGGGUCAAUAGGGGAGCUCGACGACGGGGAGGAAACAUGAGACGCCAUUGUGAUGAAGGGACGACUGGGAAUAGCUUCUCGCUAGUCGGCGUGAGGCCCACUCUCGGCGGUGACACACCGGAAACCUAAGUCGUCCUUUUUCGCACUUUAUCGCUCAAGAGAGAGAAAAAGGCCCGUGACCUAAUUUUUUAGUUUGUCUUCUCCCUGAAAAAUAUAACUAAUACACCUCUAGAAAGCUACAAGAACUCUCACGUAGAGACUGCAACCUUCUCAUCAUGAAAUAGUGUGAUCAAACCAAGCUGGUUCUACUUCUACAACACAGACAUAAAAUUGCCUUCAAUGAUCUAUAAACAUCUUGAACAAUGAGAUAGGGACUUCUACUUACAGAUAACUGUUCUAACACCAACUUCCAACAGAGAAAAAAUGACUGAAACCACAUAGCAAACUCGAACCAAGUCUUUUUUCUUAGUCUUCUUAUUUUUUUUUUUGUGACAUUAGAUCAAACUCGAAGCAUCACAUAUUAUUAUAUUUUCUCUACAACAAUAAUUAACCAAUGUGGGUCAGUGGGUGUGUAACAGUUGUCAAAAUUUCUAGGCUUCUAGCGCAACAAGUUAUAAAAGUCGUCGAAAUAAAGCAAAAUGCUUUACAUCUAUUUUUUAAAAUAAAAAAUAAUAGAAACAAACCAUGUAUACAGAAAUCGAAUAGUAUCUACUUUAAAUCGUUACAGGGUAAGUUCGACGGACUUUGAUUCCGAUACCUAAAGAAGUAAACCAAAGUGAAAACCACAAGAAGCGCAACGCCGGAGACGCCGCAUAUGAUGCUCGCCGCAAGAAACACGUGCCUCAUCACGUGCUCGCGUCUGUUGGCAGCUCCAUCACGCCACCACGUGUCGUCGUCUCCGCCGUCUGUAUCCGUAGCUUUGGGAAGGAGCUGAGAAGGAGGAGGAGAAGAACGGGAAUCUCCGAAGAAGGACAUCAUUUUCCCGGGAGGUGAGUGAGAUUCAGUCGGUGGUGAGCUGGUUUGAUACUGUAGGCCAUGAUCAGAAGGUCGUAAGCCUUCGGCGAAGAUGAAGAGGAAUGUUACACUGAACAUGAAGACCGAAGCCGAUCUAACGCGGUUUAAGAGAAGAGCCAUGUGAGGGAGAGAGAGAGACUUUUGUUUUGUUUU